CCUACGGGGGGCAGCAGUCGAGAAUCAUUCACAAUGGGGGAAACUCUGAUGGUGCGACGCCGCGUGGGGGAAUGAAGGUCUUCGGAUUGUAAACCCCUGUCAUGUGGGAGCAAAUUAAAAAGAUAGUACCACAAGAGGAAGAGACGGCUAACUCUGUGCCAGCAGCCGCGGUAAUACAGAGGUCUCAAGCGUUGUUCGGAAUCACUGGGCGUAAAGCGUGCGUAGGCUGUUUCGUAAGUCGUGUGUGAAAGGCGCGGGCUCAACCCGCGGACGGCACAUGAUACUGCGAGACUAGAGUAAUGGAGGGGGAACCGGAAUUCUCGGUGUAGCAGUGAAAUGCGUAGAUAUCGAGAGGAACACUCGUGGCGAAGGCGGGUUCCUGGACAUUAACUGACGCUGAGGCACGAAGGCCAGGGGAGCGAAAGGGAUUAGAUACCCCAGUAGUC
rnacentral:rRNA from 1 species